GAUUCCACAGUGUAGCGGUUAGCAUGUCUGCUUUCCACACAGAAGGUCCUGGGUUCACACCCCAGUGGAGCCA
rnacentral:tRNA from 1 species